GGGGCUGACCGGUUUUGACAGCGCGUAGAGGUGGUGUGUAAGCGUGCAGAGCAAUGAUGGCUACGCUCUAUAAUCAGGGACAUCGACAAUUUUAAAUGGCGAAUCAAACUACGCUCUUGCUGCUUGAUUGAAGUAUAGUAGAUCAGCUUAAUCUCCGCAACAGUUGCAGAGACAAGACAUCGCCCGAGAGUCGUGGGCCCGAGACUCCUCGAUGUGGCGGUGCAGUUAAAUCGGGAAUAGGAUGCUGAGUGCCUCUUGUCAGUGUCUGAAAUCAAAUAGGGGAUAAGGGCAUUAUUGGCCGUCUCAAGCCUGUGGUGCCACGAAAACCAAGAUGAGACUACGCACGUAGAAAGCACAUUAGUUCCGCGUUUGGACGAGGGUUCAAGUCCCUCCAGCUCCAC
rnacentral:tmRNA from 1 species